GGGCAAUCUGCCCUUCACUCUGGGACAAGCCCUGGAAACGGGGUCUAAUACCGGAUAACACCGGCUUCCGCAUGGGAGCUGGUUGAAAGCUCCGGCGGUGAAGGAUGAGCCCGCGGCCUAUCAGCUUGUUGGUGGGGUAAUGGCCUACCAAGGCGACGACGGGUAGCCGGCCUGAGAGGGCGACCGGCCACACUGGGACUGAGACACGGCCCAGACUCCUACGGGAGGCAGCAGUGGGGAAUAUUGCACAAUGGGCGAAAGCCUGAUGCAGCGACGCCGCGUGAGGGAUGACGGCCUUCGGGUUGUAAACCUCUUUCAGCAGGGAAGAAGCGAAAGUGACGGUACCUGCAGAAGAAGCGCCGGCUAACUACGUGCCAGCAGCCGCGGUAAUACGUAGGGCGCAAGCGUUGUCCGGAAUUAUUGGGCGUAAAGAGCUCGUAGGCGGCUUGUCACGUCGGGUGUGAAAGCCCGGGGCUUAACCCCGGGUCUGCAUCCGAUACGGGCAGGCUAGAGUGUG
rnacentral:rRNA from 1 species